CUGCCUCCUGCAGUUCGGGGGCCCGAAGGCACCGAGCAGAACCGCGUGCGCAACAAACUAAAGCGGCUCAUCGCGAAGAGACCGCCCUUACAAAGCCUGCAGGAGCGGGGUCUGCUCCGAGACCAGGUGUUCGGCUGCCAAUUGGAAUCACUCUGCCAGCGGGAAGGAGACACGGUGCCCAGCUUUGUGCGGCUCUGCAUUGCUGCUGUGGAUAAAAGAGGUCUAGAUGUGGAUGGCAUUUAUCGGGUGAGCGGGAACUUGGCAGUGGUCCAGAAGCUUCGCUUUCUGGUGGACAGAGAGCGUGCGGUCACCUCCGAUGGGAGGUAUGUGUUCCCAGAACAGCCAGGACAAGAAGGUCGGUUAGAUUUGGACAGUACUGAGUGGGAUGACAUUCAUGUGGUCACCGGAGCCCUGAAGCUUUUUCUCCGGGAGCUGCCCCAGCCUCUGGUGCCACCACUGCUGCUGCCCCAUUUCCGUGCUGCCCUUGCACUCUCCGAAUCAGAGCAGUGCCUCUCUCAGAUACAAGAAUUAAUAGGCUCAAUGCCAAAGCCCAACCAUGACACUCUACGGUACCUCCUGGAGCAUUUAUGCAGGGUGAUAGCACACUCAGAUAAGAAUCGCAUGACACCCCACAACCUGGGAAUUGUGUUUGGACCAACCCUGUUUCGGCCAGAGCAGGAGACAUCUGACCCAGCAGCCCAUGCUCUCUACCCAGGGCAGCUGGUCCAGCUGAUGCUCACCAACUUCACCAGCCUCUUCCCCUGAUGCAGGGAAGGAAGAAGAGAAAACAUAUUUCCGGUCAUCU
rnacentral:sRNA from 1 species